GGCAGCCUUGGAAGACACAGAUAGCUGCAGUGUGGAAGGAAGAGCCAGAAGAUACCACACCACACCUGCUUAGAAAGCCUUGUUUGCUGUUGAGUUGCCUGCAUCUCCAGAAACUUGUUUUGCCUGACGUUUAGAUAGAGUUUGAAUCACUUUUCAAAUGCAAUAAAAGAGGUCUGAAAAACA